rnacentral:rRNA from 1 species
UACGUAGGGGCCGAGCGUUGUCCGGAGUUAUUGGGCGUAAAGCGCGCGCAGGCGGCCUCGCGCGCCCGACGUGAAAGCCCCCGGCUUAACCGGGGAGGUCGUUGGGGACGGCGGGGCUUGAGGGCGGGAGAGGUCGGUGGAAUUCCCGGUGUAGUGGUGAAAUGCGUAGAGAUCGGGAGGAACACCUGUGGCGAAGGCGGCCGACUGGGCCGACCCUGACGCUGAGGCGCGAAGGCGUGGGGAGCGAACAGG